GGGGUGGUGGCGCAGUUGGCUAGCGCGCAGGUCUCAUAAUCCUGAGGUCGAGAGUUCGAGCCUCUCUCACCCCA